rfam:Mustela putorius furo unplaced genomic scaffold scaffold00102, whole genome shotgun sequence.
ACCUGGCUGCCUUAGUUGGUAGUGCAUGAGACUCUGGAUCUCAAGGCUGUGAGUUCAAGCCCCAUGUCAGGUG